ACGCUCGACACCUACGGAGGCAGCAGUUAGGAAUAUUGGGCAAUGGAGGAAACUCUGACCCAGCAACGCCGCGUGAAGGAAGAAGGUUUUCGGAUUGUAAACUUCUGAUCUAGGGGAAGAAGGAAGUGACGGUACCCUAGGAGAAAGCCACGGCUAACUACGUGCCAGCAGCCGCGGUAAUCUGAGCGGGCUGGCAAGGC
rnacentral:rRNA from 1 species